UAUGGCACAGGUUCCCAUAUGAUCACAAAAGUUAAGCAAUAUUGAGCCUAGUCAGUACCUAGAUGGGUGACCACUUCAGAAUAC